rfam:Sclerotinia sclerotiorum 1980 scaffold_26 genomic scaffold, whole genome shotgun sequence.
GGUCGUGUGGUCUAAUGGUUAUGAUAUCUCGUUCACAAACAUGUGUUCAUCAAUUCUGAUUUCGAUUGUACCCGUUAUCUGAUUCCGAGAUGGUUCCCAGUUCGAUCCUGGGCACGAUCA